rnacentral:rRNA from 1 species
UACGGAGGGUGCAAGCGUUAUCCGGAUUCACUGGGUUUAAAGCGUGCGUAGGUGGUUUGUUAAGUCUGUUGUGAAAGCCCCGGGCUCAACCUGGGAAUGGCAAUGGAUACUGGCAAGCUAGAGUGCGGUAGAGGGUAGUGGAAUUCCCGGUGUAGCGGUGAAAUGCGUAGAGAUCGGGAGGAACACCAGUGGCGAAGGCGGCUACCUGGACCAGCACUGACACUGAGGCACGAAAGCGUGGGGAGCAAACAGG